rnacentral:rRNA from 1 species
AUUGAACGCUGGCGGCAGGCCUAACACAUGCAAGUCGAGCGAGCGGCGGACGGGUUAGUAAUGUCUGGGAAACUGCCUGAUGGAGGGGGAUAACUACUGGAAACUGUAGCUAAUACCGCAUACCAUCAGAUGUGCCCAGAUGGGAGUAGCUAGUAGGUGGGGUAACGGCUCACCUAGGCGACGAUCCCUAGCUGGUCUGAGAGGAUGACCAGCCACACGGGAACUGAGAAACGGUCCAGACUCCUACGGGAGGCGGCAGUGGGGAAUAUGGCACAAUGGGCGAAAGCCUGAUGCAGCCAUGCCGCGUGGGUGAAGAAGGACUUCGGGUUGUAAAGCACUUUCAGCGGGGAGGCGUUACCCGCAGAAGAAGCACCGGCUAACUCCGUGCCAGCAGCCGCGGUAAUUC